AAAUUCAGGUUAGUAGUGGGAAAUUAAAAUAAGCUUUUUAGAAUAUAUCAUCGUCUUGCAAGUAUAAUUGAGAGCUCCACUUGGUCGAUUGAUAGGGUAAUUGUGAGCAACAUAUCCUUCACAUCAAAGGACUAUCAUUUAAAGGACUAAAGGUAAGUCAAACAUUCUUCCUCUAAAGUUGACACAACUUGGUAUUAGGCCAAAGCACAAUUUUCAACCCAGUUGAUCGAACAACAGUAGUGAAGGGACUUCAGAAUGAAAAACUUCUCUUUCUAUCUCCCUUUUACCGGGGACAUCUUCCUUUUAAAGACGUUGCUAGGCGAAUCUUGAGCCUACAAAUGAAAUUAUCUUCUCUUUAGCGAAGAUGUAAGUCAUACAUUUUGCUCAGUACGCCAUUACUUAGCUUAUACCCUCCUUUACAAGCUAAUUUGCAGGCUAACUAGUACUUUUAUGUUGUUCAAGUGUAUUUGACUGAGGGAGAGGCCUUGGAAGUUCAAGUAGCUUGUUAAGAACAUCCUUAAGGGGAAUCAAACCCAGAACUUAAGUGUUCCUUAUAGACCAUCAAAUUAUUGGAGCCUGGACCAUUGCUCGCCCUUUGCGAGCUUGUUGUGUGAGACAAUUUAUAUGAGAGGGAAUACUAUAAUGAUAGUGAUAGUUCAGCAGGUUGCCUGUGUCUAUAUUGGAUUGGAGAUUUUUCCACCUUAACGUUUUCCUGUUGAUCCAUAAGUUCAAGCUAAGAUUCUUGGGUGUAGGUUGGUUUACUCAAAUGGAAAAUUUGGCAAGAUGAACUUGCUUUAGGUGGAUCGAGUCAUCGAUGAGUUGGGUUCAUGGUGGGCUUAGGUCAUUAAGGAUGGUUCGUGCUUAAAGUUUCAGCCAUGGAAGUUGAACUUGGUCGACUAAUAUAUUGGUAGAGGAAAUUGCUCAUAAAGUUAGACAUGUGAAUGAAAAGUCCUUAGCAUUGCUUUAGUAAGUUCGACAUAUGUAUAGCAUUGGAAAUCAGUGAGUUUGGUUGACUAAUUAUUAAGCAAAGAAAAUUGCUUCGUAGGAUGGUUUGCUUGGUGUUGACAUUUAAAGAAAACAAAAGAUUCUCUAAGGAGAUAUGUCUUGAAAGUUCUUCUUUGUAUCUAGAUAUUUCAAUUAUGGCUUGAAGGUUCAAUCAUGGCUAGAUGGUUUGAUCAUGGCUUAAUGGUUUGUUUAUGACUUGUUAGUUCGAUAAGUUCGUGGAGGUUUGGUCAUGUGAACAGCUCAAUAAGUAUAGGUUCAAUCAUGUAGGGGCUUAGUAGGUUAAAAAUAAAUUACUUAAGGGUUUGAUCAUGGAAGUUGAGCUUGGUGGCUUGUGUAAGGCUCAACAACAAGGCAAAUUCAUGGAAAACUUUAAUGCUCAUGUUUAAGGCUCAGUAAGCAAAACAACAUUCAUUGAAAAUUCAAAUGAUCAUGUUCAAGGCUAGGCAAAAUAAAGAAAAGUUUAUAGAAAAUUUAAAUGUUUUCAAUUUCUUAAGAGCAUGGGGCAAGAUUCGAGAGAUGAAGGAAAAGUUUUAGUUUGUUUUUGUUUUAUUAUUGUUUUAUUAUUAAAAAGAAAUAAAUUACAAAUUGAAGAGAAGUUUUAAGAGAAAGAGUAAAAUUACCUCAUAAAGAGAGAGAGGUUUUACCUUUUGAUGAAGGGUUGUGAAAACACAAAUGGAGUGGGAUAAGAUAAUUUAUAGAAUAAUGGAGGAAACUUUUUAGGAUUUCAAAUUUGAAUAAAAAAAGGUUUUUCCCCCUUCUUUUUGCUGCCUCUUUGUGUCUUCUUU
rnacentral:lncRNA from 1 species